GACGAACGCUGGCGGCGUGCUUAAUACAUGCAAGUCGAGCGAGGCCUUGGAAUUGGAGUCCUUCGGGAUGAAGAGUCCUUGGCCUAGCGGCGGACGGGUGAGUAACGCGUGGGCAACCUACCCCAAAGUCCGGGAUAACAGUGGGAAACCGCUGCUAAUACCGGAUGGCUUUACCUGAGGGCAUCCUCGGGUGAAGAAAGGUUACGCUUUGGGAUGGGCCCGCGUCCCAUUAGCUAGUUGGUGAGGUAACGGCUCACCAAGGCGACGAUGGGUAGCCGGCCUGAGAGGGUGAACGGCCACACUGGGACUGAGACACGGCCCAGACUCCUACGGGAGGCAGCAGUAGGGAAUAUUGCGCAAUGGGCGGAAGCCUGACGCAGCGACGCCGCGUGAGCGAAGAAGGCCUUCGGGUCGUAAAGCUCUGUCCUUGGGGAAGAAGGCGAAAGCUUGACGGUACCCAAGAAGAAAGCCCCGGCUAACUACGUG
rnacentral:rRNA from 1 species